rnacentral:lncRNA from 1 species
GGAGAAGAAUCUGGCUGGAGUCGCAGCUUUCAUUCAAAGGGAAUAAUCCCACUCCUCUCCACAUUUGCCACGUAUGUUUUCUUAAAAAGAUUCUUUCAAGUCUGGCAGCUGAGACUCACAUUUCCGAUCCGGACACCCGUUUCAUAACCAGCUCAGCUGCUGACCCAGUUAAAUAAUAAUGAGCGAUUUUCAUAAAUCUAAACGUUCCCUCAGAAGAACCCAGUGGAAGAGGCUGCAGGGUGGUGCUUGGGGGGCCUGGCUGGAUGUGGGAGUGACGGGACAAAGUUGGAGUGCUCGUCUAUGGAAUCUGUGCCCUUUGCGUGGAAAACAAUACCUCCAGAUGCACCUGCAUGCUGGUGUUGUGACCCAAACACCAUCUCAUGAUGAAGUCUUCCUGAGCCCUCAGCGCUUUUCGGUCCUCGGGGCCUCAGAAUGGGGGCAUCCGCUCUCCUCUCGCCAAGGUGCCCACCUGAGGGACUCACUCGAGGACGGAGCACCAGCCCCAGCUCUCUUCCAUGGGCCGUCUGUCCUGCUCUGGGGCUGAGGCCACCCUGAGAAGGAGCACCAUUGCCGAAGAGGUCCGCAUAUUGAUGAACAGCAGAAGAGGACAGGUGGCCAGUUAUUUUUGCCAUCAGAAUAGAGGACUUUAUGUCCAAAAGGAUUGGAAAACCUCGGGUGGAAAACCUGUGUGGACCAUUUCCAAUUUUCUGCAGAGGCACGUGUGGUCAGAUCCUGUCGAUCUUGUCUCUGUUAAGGGGCCUUGGCCCCUCCCUGUGAUGGGUGAGGAACUCGGCUUAUUCCUGGGGACAGCAGCCUGCCACCAGAGAGGCCAUAGGCUGGAGCAAGGGCUGACUCACAGGGCAGCGAGGAAACGGCCUGGAUCUUUGACCGGGGCCGCCCCUCCUAAGCAAUCGCGUUAUGGAUGGGUCCCCAACUCAUACAAAAGUAUCAUAAAACAUUGGGGAGGCUUGUAACACUGCCCUUUAAAGAAAGGAGAGAGCCGACCAUGGAGGUGCCCCUGCAGCAGGUUUUACAGUAACAUGGAUGCUAUUUUGACGGCCAAGUUUUUGAUGAACAAAGCAGUAAAACCACAAGAAGUACUUACAUUUUCAUCAUGCAAGAGGAAAGAAAAAUUUGGAUCUCUGAGGUUUCUAAUAAACCAGAAAAAAAACCCGGUUGUGUUAAAUGC